rnacentral:rRNA from 1 species
UACGGAGGGUGCAAGCGUUAUCCGGAUUCACUGGGUUUAAAGGGUGCGUAGGUGGGUUGAUAAGUCAGUGGUGAAAUCCCCGAGCUUAACUUGGGAACUGCCAUUGAUACUAUUGAUCUUGAAUACCGUGGAGGUCAGCGGAAUAUGUCAUGUAGCGGUGGAAAUGCUUAGAUAUGACAUAGAACACCAAUUGCGAAGGCAGCUGGCUACGCGAAUAUUGACACUGAUGCACGAAAGCGUGGGGAUCAAACAGGUAGU